GACGAACGCUGGCGGCGUGCCUAAUACAUGCAAGUCGAGCGAAUCUUUAGAAGCUUGCUUCUGAAGAUUAGCGGCGGACGGGUGAGUAACACGUGGGCAACCUGCCUGUAAGACUGGGAUAACUUCGGGAAACCGGAGCUAAUACCGGAUAAUCCAUUCCCUCACAUGAGGGAAUGCUGAAAGACGGCAUCACGCUGUCACUUACAGAUGGGCCCGCGGCGCAUUAGCUAGUUGGUGAGGUAACGGCUCACCAAGGCGACGAUGCGUAGCCGACCUAAGGGGGUGAUCGGCCACACUGGGGCUGAGACACGGCCCAGACUCCUACGGGAGGCAGCAGUAGGGAAUCUUCCGCAAUGGACGAAAGUCUGACGGAGCAACGCCGCGUGAGCGAAGAAGGCCUUCGGGUCGUAAAGCUCUGUUGUUAGGGAAGAACAAGUACCGGAGUAACUGCCGGUACCUUGACGGUACCUAACCAGAAAGCCACGGCUAACUACGUGCCAGCAGCCGCCGUAAGAC
rnacentral:rRNA from 1 species